AUUAUAUAUUUAUUUAUAAGGAAUUUUAUAAUACAUCGUUUCAUAUGGUAACCCAUAUAUUAAGGCAUUUGGCAUAUAGUUAAAAAAAGUUGAAUGAUUUAUGUGGGUGUUUUUUAAUUGCGUAUCUUCAUGGUUGCCAGAUUUUGACACAAAACCCACCUAAUCUCAUAGGUUAUAGCCAACAAUUUUGUGGGUGGGAGGUAGUUGUAGAGAUGUAGAUGUCAAAAAUAUAGGCUAGGUAAAUAGAUAAAAUCAAUUCCCAUGAUAUAUUUUUAAUAUUAUUAUUUUGCUUUCUAUUAAACACACUAAUUACAUAAAGAGCGGAAUCGUACGCGAUAUACCUGGCAACCAAUCAUCUAAACCGUCAGCCUGCACUCAUUUUCCAAUUCAUUUUCUGAGCCUUUGAGGAUGAACAAGACCAACGAGAACCAGUCAGGUAAAAAUCAUUGGUGAAGUCACCAGAUGUGGAUGGCGUGUAUGUUGUUCGACAUUGCAGCGUGCUAAUGAGUUAAUAAAGAGGCAGCAAAAACCUGGGAUCUGCAUUGGCCCUGUCAAGUCUGGAGAGUGUUUUUACCAUUUAAUGAAUUAAAUUGUAAUAAAAGUUUUUAAAUGGA